rnacentral:rRNA from 1 species
UUUAUUGGAGAGUUUGAUCCUGGCUCAGGACGAACGCUGGCGGCGUGCCUAAUACAUGCAAGUCGAGCGGACCUUUUAAAAGCUUGCUUUUGAAAGGUCAGCGGCGGACGGGUGAGUAACACGUGGGCAACCUGCCUGUAAGACUGGGAUAACUUCGGGAAACCGGAGCUAAUACCGGAUAAUAUAAGGAACCUCCUGGUUCUUUAUUGAA